ACAUCUGAGUCCCAGGGCAAGCGGACUGCAAGCAAACACUGCCAAUAAAAAUGGCAAGAAGUAUUUCAUUAAUAAAUUAUAAUAGAGACUCAAAACCUGCUACUGCCAGGCAAAGCAGGUUUUUAGCCCAUGUUGUGUAAUGUCAUACUUGUAGAGGCACCCACACCCUUGGAGCCCAAAACCAUGCCAUGCACAUGUAACCAACCAGCUACAUGUGAAGAUCACAUAAAGGUGUUCUUGUCCUGGCUCUAGCUAAGGUUCCAGCUCUCAGUCAGCAUCAAUUGUGGAAGAUGGGAGUGCAUGAGCUUUUAGAUGAUUUCAGUCCCCUGCCUUUGACACCAAGUGGAACUGAGAUGAUCUUUCCACCGAGCCCUAGUCAAACUGCAGAUUCAUGAGCAAAAUAAACACCAUCAUUACUGAAGCAACAUGGCAUGUGGGGUGAUAUGUUGGGGAAGCCAUAGAUAAUCAGAGAAAGCUCCUUUUCUUUGUGAGCAAUAUUAUUUGCAUAGGAGAGAGACAAAGCUGCAUGGACUGGAAACUUCCAUGACCAAAAAAGAUGUCAUUUUCUAAGGGCUUGAGUGGGAGGUGGCCCUGACAGCAUCUGCAUGAGCCAGAGAUGCACUCACACUUUCAUUAUUGCUUGAGGGUGCCAAGAACUGUAGCAGUAAGAGCAGAAGCAGAAAUGAAGAACACGAAGGAUGCUAUGGAGUGAGAGAAAAGUCCAUGCUUGCAAGAAUCCAAAGACACCCUGUGAGGACGCCCCAAAAUACUCGAGGAAGUGUAUAAAGAUGGUGCCUCCACAUAAACUGAACAUAUGGCCGGCAAAGAGCACCCCUAUUCCAUCAUCCAAGUUCUCCUUCCUUAGCUGAAGUGAAAACAUUUGAAAUUGAUGAUACAAAGUGCUGGGGAGGGUGGAGAGAAAUGGCCCCUGUCUAAGCUAUAUGGAGAGUGAAUAGCAAGGCAGUUUGCCAAUAUCUAUCACUUGUUAAAUCCACAUACACUUUGCUCCAGGAAUUAGAAUUUCAGGAAUUUAUCUUAAAACUGUUGUAACAACACAUAUAUGAAGAGGUUUAUUGUAGCCUUGCUUACAGUGACUAAGUAUCAGAAACAACCUAGAUAACUGUCAGUGGGAACUGGUUGAAUAAUUUGUUUUAUCAACAUGUAGGAAAAUAUCCAAUCUCUAUAGAGAAUGAGGCAAACUUUUACAAACUUUGUAAGAUGUAUUUCUAAGUAAAAAUAAACAUAAGAACAAACAAAUGAAAAUAACAA
ensembl:lncRNA novel transcript